AAACAAACCAAAUGGCAUCACUGGUGGUUCUUUUUUCCACUCCGCUAAACUGUCAUCUCAAACAAAAACAAAUGGAUCAUACAACUGCUAUGAAUACAUUCGACUCGUUUGCUUCCAUCAAUCGGUAAGUGAGAAAGAAGAUUUCUCCCAUCACCACAGUGCGGAUUUCCACUUCUAUCACAGCAGCCAACAACAUCCGUUUUCCUGCAGCAGUAACCUCCAACCCCUGUUGACAAUGCCGGGGGACAGCAUCAACAGCAGCAGCAGCAGAAUUUGACCAUGGUAUGGUAUUGCGAAGAACUUUCCCCAUUAGAGGUUCCGUGCUUCGCGCACAUUCAAAAAUCCUCUUCAUACACGAAAACUCAACGACAAGGAGGUAUUUAUCAACUUGCUCAGCUGAAUUACCACCCGGAGGAACCCGAAUGCACUGAUUCCGUUGUAUAGUAGAAUGAAAAUAGGCGAGGUAAGCGAACGUAAUCGCAUGAUAUUUUAAUGUUCGCAUUUUUAUCCGGAUUAUACAACUGCUAUGAAUACAUCCGACUCAAUCAAUCGGCGAGUGAGAAAGAUGAUUUCCCUCAUCACCACAUUGCUUAUUUCCACUUCUGUCACGCCAGCCAACAGCAUCAGCUUUCCCGCAGCAGUAUCCUUUAAGUACAGGGUGCUAUUCCGUCAACAGUAACAGCAGCAGGACCUGGCCAUCGAUAGUAUUUCGAGCAAUUUUCCCCGUCGGAGAUCCCGUGCUUCACGCACAUUGAAGAAUCCUCCUCAGCCACAUAUCUGUGUCAUCAAGGGCAAGGAGGUAUUCAUCAAUGUACUCAGUCGGAUUUGAAUCGUCAAUCCAGACAACCCGGAUGUACCGAUUCCAUUAUAUACCUUAUUUUUAUUAUACAUGGAUUUUUAUUAUUUUUUUUAAAUAAAAUGAUUAAAAUCGA